UUGGGUGAACUUCAGUUUAACAGUAAGCAUUUGUUAGAAAGCAAAAAGUACAGAAUUUGAAGCAGUAAUUAAAUGUACCACCUGAAACUCACAUUUUUAUGAUGAUUUGAUACAGUUACUAUGGUAAUCCAAGUGUAACAGUGAAGAUCUGAGUAUCAGAUUUGAGAAUGAAAGUGUCAACAAUAGGAGAUUAUUAGUCAAGAUGCUUUGAAAUGAUGUCUUCAAUGGGUAUCGUGAACCCCAUAGAACCCUCAUGCUUCUAAGUUCAAGAAAGUAUUCUUGAAGGCUAAAAGAUGUAAAUGAAUGUGGAAUACUUACCUAGUAUGUGUGAGACUCUGGCUUCCACCUCCAGUGCCACAGAGCAAAACAAACAUCUAUAUUCUUGAACUAUCCUGUCUUUUUUACAUCCCUAGUACCAUCAUUAAUUCAAAGAUACUUCCCAAAUUGUGUUAACCUCCUAUAUUUGAGAGACUCUAGGGUUGUUGGACCCUUCCCCCAUGGGGAUCUGCUAACCAACUUGUGACUAGGAGCUUAUUUAACAAAAACAUCCUGUUCCCUUCCUUCUGAGAAGGCCUGACCACAAGUUCCUGUUAUCCACCCACAAAUGAUGGUCAGAUGGAUCUGGGAACGUAAACUUCCAGCCUGGGUAGUUUUCCACUGUGCCUGCUGACUGGUAUAUAAGGCUCCCCUCUUGUUGUAAUAAACGGCAUUCUCCUUGCAUGAGUGACCCGCUGUCUUGUCUUUAUUUAAAUCCUCAGCCCCUUACCCGAAUCUGUGAGACAUAUUGCUGGCACUACAAAUGGAGGUCCCAUCAAGAUCAGAAAAGAAGGAUAAAUGCUGAAGGGUCACCCGUGAAGGCUGGCCAGCAUUCUCAUUAAGGAUGUCGAGUUCCCAGUUUGGGUUCUGGAACAUUGUGUGCACCCUGUUCCUGCUGAUACACACCAGCCAUUGGGCCUUCAUGAGGAACUUACCUGUCAUGAUGCCACUGGAGAAGCUGUUGGAGUGGUGAAAUAUGUUCCUGGUAUCAUGCCUACACCAGCGGAACACUCAGGAGAGAACCAGCUCAUCCUUACAUGACAUAAGAGAGAUCUUGGCAUCAUGGCCAUUGCAGCCGCUGUUGGCAGCUGUCUCCACAGCAGUUACAAUUUCUGGCAUCGCUAUCUCUCAGUCAGUUGCCACAGCAGGCACACUGGAUAAGCUCUUAAGGGAGUUUGCCUCUGCCUUAAGUUCCCAGAAUAAUAUCAAUUCUCUAGUACAAUUGGGCACUUUAAAUCUUAAUCAGCGAACUUCUCUAAUGUCAAUUUCACAAAUUACAUGUCUCAAUUGGCUAAUCAAAUUAUUAAGAUUAGUGAAAUCAGGGUUCCUCCCCUUUCGGGAGACCCCCUCUUAAGGAGACUGCAACUAGCAGGUUGAUUAAUUAAGAAAUGGAGUGGGUCAUUAGCCCUCAGAUUAUGGCCCUGGGCAGCACAGCUUUAGCCUUAAUCUGCCUUUACCUUGUGGGAAAGCCACAAGCCCAGUGUCAUUUUCACAAAAAGCAAAUAAGGCUUUCCUUGACAGCAGAUAACCCCUCAGCAUAGGAGGCCUGGAUGAGCCUGCAGAACAAGUGAACAAUCAAUAAGACUUGGGAGACAUCUGUCAACCUAAGACAGAGGGUCUUCGAGGCCUGGGCAGACUUUUCAAUGAUGGGCAAAGCAGAUGUGGAUGUCCCAGGUAACCUAACACAGAUGCUCAUUUAUAUAUAUGGGACCUGUUGGGCCCUUCCGCCACAGGGAUCUGCUGACCAGCUUGUGACUAGGAGCUUAUUUAGCAAAAACAUCCUGUUCCCCUCCUUCUGAGAAGGCCUGACCACAAGUUCCUGUUAUCCACCCAUGCAUGAUUGCCAGAUGGACCUGGGAACGUAAACUUCCGGCCUGGGUAGUUUUCCACUGUGCCUGCUGACUGGUAUAUAAGGCUCCCCUCUUGUUGUAAUAAACGGCAUUCUCCUUGCA